GAGGAUUUGACGAAAUUGGUAAACGUGUUGGACUUAAAAUCCAAUGGUUUUUUGCCUUGUGAGUUCAAGUCUCACAAUCCUUA
rnacentral:tRNA from 1 species